GAACUGUUCUAACAUGUUGUUUUCUCACUGCACAUGGGUGCUUGGGGCUCUGUGGAACACACAAAACCAAAUUAAAUGUACAAUAAAAACAUCAUUAAAAUCCACCUUCUUAAUUCAGGAAGAUCAAUGCAAAUUAGAAUGUCUAUUUAAAAAAGAAGUGGGAAAGAGAUAGAAGAACAAACAGGAAGCCUAACAAUGGUCAUUGGAAAAUACAGCUUCAGAGGUAGAGAGCUUUCAUCCUCCAGUACCUGGGCUGAAUAUCAAUCUUGUACUCAGGAAAACCCAGCUUCCAUACCAGACAGCACACAUCAGUCCCAAGAGGAUACGGCCAACUGACUAUUAGGUAGCUGGAAUUGGCUGAGGAGACUUCAGUGGGAGAGAAUCACUGUUGUAGCAGCUCAAAGAAGAGGAAUUGAGCUGGGGCUUCCCACAAGGCUAAGUUGGAGUGGGUGAGUACCUCAUAACAGCAUCUCAUCUUUCCAUAGUCAGGAUGGAUACCCCCACAGAUUCCCUCUUCCUCAGUGGUAUAGACAGUUUAGUUUAGCACUUUGGUUAAACCACCAACAAUAAAAGUCUUCCCCUUCCAAAGUAAAUAUUAAACGCUAUUAAAAAAAAUCUAAGUUCAAUAAAAUUUCACUCCUAGGGUGCUUGGCUUCCAAGCAGUUCUCCAUCUGACCAACUUUCACCUUUCACUGGGGGUCCUUCUGCAAACAUGAAACAGGAAUGUGCUUGACCCAGGUUUGGUCUGACAGGGCUAGCAUACUCUGUUAUAGACCCCUUCUCAAAUUGUACC